ACUCCUACGGGAGGCAGCAGUGGGGAAUAUUGGACAAUGGGCGAAAGCCUGAUGGAGCAACGCCGCGUGAAGGAUGAAGGCCCUCGGGUUGUAAACUUCUUUUAUGAGUGAAGAAUAUGACGGUAACUCAUGAAUAAGCACCGGCUAACUACGUGCCAGCAGCCGCGGUAAU
rnacentral:rRNA from 1 species